CCUACGGGAGGCAGCAGUGAGGAAUAUUGGUCAAUGGCCGAGAGGCUGAACCAGCCAAGUCGCGUGAGGGAAGAAUGUCCUAUGGAUUGUAAACCUCUUUUGUCAGGGAGCAAAGUCACCCACGUGUGGGUGUUGGAGAGUACCUGAAGAAAAAGCAUCGGCUAACUCCGUGCCAGCAGCCACGGUAAUACGGGGGAUGCGGGCGUGAUCCGGAUUUAUUGGGUUUAAAGGGUGCGUAGGCGGGUUAUCAAGUCAGCGGUAAAAUCGUGGAGUUCAACUCCAACCAGCCGUUGAAACUGAUGAUCUUGAGUGGACAAGAGGUGUGCGGAAUGCGAGGUGUAGCGGUGGAAUGCGUAGAUA
rnacentral:rRNA from 1 species